UGGCGGGUAGUGUAAUGGUAGCACCGCAGCUUUUGGAGCUGCUUGUCAAGGUUCGAAUCCUUGCCCGCCAGCCA
rnacentral:tRNA from 1 species